rnacentral:rRNA from 1 species
UACGUAGGUAGCAAGCGUUGUCCGGAAUCAUUGGGCGUAAAGCGCGCGUAGGUGGCCUCAUAAGUCCGCUGUGAAAGUCAAAGGCUCAACCUUUGAAAGCCGGUGGAUACUGUGAGGCUAGAGUACGGAAGAGGCGAGUGGAAUUCCUGGUGUAGCGGUGGAAUGCGCAGAUAUCAGGAGGAACACCAAUAGCGAAGGCAGCUCGCUGGGACGUUACUGACACUGAGGCGCGAAAGCGUGGGGAGCGAACGGG